AACUUUCAACAACGGAUCUCUUGGUUCUGGCAUCGAUGAAGAACGCAGCGAAAUGCGAUAAGUAGUGUGAAUUGCAGAAUUCAGUGAAUCAUCGAAUCUUUGAACGCACAUUGCGCCCCUUGGUAUUCCAUGGGGCAUGCCUGUUCGAGCGACAUUU
rnacentral:rRNA from 1 species